rnacentral:lncRNA from 1 species
UUUCUGGCUAGUUAAAUUCUAUAAUUAUCAUAGAGCUUGUAUGUGAAGUUUGGUGAAUUUUGGAGGAGUUUGGAAUUGUUUGUGAAUUUCCGAAGUUUGGGAGUUUCGGUUGUUGAAUUGUGGGAAUCCGACCUUCGGAUUUCCCUUGUUCCGAUAUGGAAUACAUCAAUCGACGGAUGGAUAUUAAUGGUGAAGUUUGAUUGGGUGUGGAAGAGGAUUGGAGAAGUUGAGAUUAUAAUUGUGUACAGGACGUGA